rnacentral:rRNA from 1 species
CCUACGGGUGGCUGCAGUGGGGAAUAUUGGACAAUGGGCGAAAGCCUGAUCCAGCCAUGCCGCGUGUGUGAAGAAGGCCUUCGGGUUGUAAAGCACUUUCAGUGGGGAAGAAAGCCUUGGGGCUAAUACCCUCGAGGAAGGACAUCACCCACAGAAGAAGCACCGGCUAACUCCGUGCCAGCAGCCGCGGUAAUACGGAGGGUGCGAGCGUUAAUCGGAAUUACUGGGCGUAAAGCGCGCGUAGGCGGUCUGAUAAGCCGGUUGUGAAAGCCCCGGGCUCAACCUGGGAACGGCAUCCGGAACUGUCAGGCUAGAGUGCAGGAGAGGAAAGUAGAAUUCCCGGUGUAGCGGUGAAAUGCGUAGAGAUCGGGAGGAAUACCAGUGGCGAAGGCGGUCUUCUGGACUGACACUGACGCUGAGGUGCGAAAGCGUGGGUAGCAAACAGGAUUAGAUACCCGGGUAGUC